rnacentral:misc_RNA from 1 species
UGGAGGAAACAAAGAAGGUUUAGCGCGCAAGUACAAGCUACCCCAACCAGAAUGGUCUGUGUUCCGCGAAGCAAGCUUUGGCCAUGGUGAACUUGCGAUAAUUAAUUCAACUCAUGCCUCUUGGAGCUGGCAUAGAAAUGAUGAUGAUGAACCAGUGAGGUCUGAUCAAGUUUCGAUUACCUCGUUGAUUGAUUCAGGAUGCAGCAGCGUUAGAGUCAUGAACUAAGAGAAAUCCUUGGAAGCUCUUAGCUCUACUUGUAACAGAAACCAACUACUUGUUCUUAUUAUUAAGUAAAUUUAGGAGAUAUAUUGAGUAAUGUCUCUUGUUGCUCAAACUCAACAGUCAAAAACUUGAAGAUGAGAGCUGUAAGUUGAAUACCAUGCCAUAAAAAUGUAACUAAUUGUUCUGUAGAAAACAUCUAUAAUUCAGAAGCUUUAGCAUGAACGUUUACAUGUAACUCAAAAAGUAGUCUAUCAACUACAGGAUUUCAGAAACUAGUUCUUCAAAAAAAAAAA